CUCACGGCCACAACCAUCUGCCCGUUUUCUUCCCGUUGUUCACAUCACCGUCAUUCAGUAUGUUAUGUUCCCUUACGACACUAAGACUAAGGAAGGACCGACGUUAAGAUAGGCAGGAGGCCAUAAUGUUUAUUAUGAAGGAUUCCAAGGGAGGGAUGAGGUAGUGGUGGGUGGGUAGUGGUACUGGUUCAGGGUUUCAUAAGAGCGGUGUUAUCGUGGUUAGUGGUCCUAAUAUGCCCCCCCCCCCCUUCACUCCUCACCCCUACAAUGGUCUGAGGGGUUACCGAGGGAGGGAAGUAGGAGGAGGGAGACCCCGGUAAUUUCUGCACACAUAACCUUUGCAAAUGAUGAUCCAAUGUCUCCGUAGACAUACUUUAUUGGACGUUAUUAGGCAGUAACGUCGUGGAACUACUGCUGCCGCCUCCACCACAAAGGCUACCCGCUCCUACGCUUAACUAUCUAAUUGGUCUAUAGCCAACCUCUAACUAUCUCUUACGGAAAAUGAAGCAAUCUGUUUGGUCCUCCUUCCCGCCCCUCUUCCUCACCCAUCCACCUCAUACUAUCGUCUCCGUCUAAUUAUUUAAUUGGUCUGUUUUUCGGGUCUUAAUAAUUCAUACCAUUGUUAUGUCUCGAGGUAUUGUCCUAACGUGAUUGUUGAUGUCUGUGUAACAUCCGAGGUCCUCUCUCUCUCUCUCUCUCUCUCUCUCUCUCUCUCUCUCUCUCUCUCUCUCUCUCUCUCUCGUGAAAAGGUAUAAUUUUCUUUUAUUUUUUAAUUUAUAAUAUAUUAUUCCUUUCUGUUUAUAUCAUUAUUAAUAUCGUCUACAAACUAUUAAUACAAUAUCAAUCAUCACAAUGUUGUAAAUAAGUAAAGGAAAAUCACUUGGGUAAAAAAACACGCAGGGAUAAUGAACUCUUGAGUCUUGCUGGUCUUAACAACUUCAGGAAUCAAACGAGGCGGAAAAUCGACUUAAAAAAAAAUAUAAUACUCUCACUAGCAACUUGUUCGACGGUGUUGCCAUACGAGGGAGGGAGGGAGGGAGGGUGGGUCUGUUAUUGGUUUUCUUUCCAUGGUUCCAGGAAUUCCCAAUCCACUGGAAUAGCUAGAAAGGAGUAGGUGGGGAGGGAGGGAGGGAGGCAGGAGGGGAGGAUUGUAGUAGUAGUAGACUCUUAAGGCUCGCGGUCGGUCAUGUUUUGUUGUCACACUUGGGAAAUUGAGAGAAAAAAAAAUAUAUCGAGCAAGAUUUCUAGGUGUUAUUCUUUGUUUACACGUCAUCGAGGGUGGCCAAUAUUUUUGUUUCGUUUCUCCUAGGUAUUAUUUAAGUUUGUUAGGGUAGAUGCAAGAGAUAGAAAGAGAACCGUGAAUUGUAUAGAUAACGUGUUACUUUUUUUUUUUUUUAAUUUAUCGAAUUUACAAAUGAUUUUGACACAUUACAAAAUCCUCCUUUAAAUGUUAUAAUAAUAAAAUAAAAACAAUUAUUCAUGAUAUUCCACAACUACCAUCACCACAACUACCGCCCCCUUACUGCCACCACCAUCACUAUUUCUAUCCCUACAAGUACCACCACCACACACCACAAGAGCUGUUAAUUUGCCAAGGUCUCCCCUGGGGGUCAGCUAAGACCUGAUAAAGGGAGGAUGGGAGGGAGGGUGGGUGGUUAACUCUACCUAAGAUUUUUCGAGAGGUCAGCUGUAUCUUAAGAGGUCAGCUGUAUCUUAAGAGGUCAGCUGUAUCUUAAGAGGUCAGCUGGAUCUUAAGAGGUCAGCUGUAUCUUAAGAGGUCAGCUGGAUCUUAAGAGGCCAAUAAUAAUUCUCAUAGCCUAAUAGUAGUACUUACAAAGAUUACUUAUAAUACUUUAGAGGAGCGAUAAGUGCGACCUACUUUUCUUGCCUACACCUCCCCUCCCCUACGCGUAGUAAAUGGUCAUAACUUUACGUUCAGUGUCGUUAUUCUGCGUUCACAGCCCCCCUAACAAAGGCCAUUGAUAGCCAUUAAGAUAUACAUUAUGCGCGGACGAAGUAUAAUGGCAUGGGGUAGGGGUUGUUAAUAACCUCCCCCCCCCCUCUACCUAAA